rnacentral:rRNA from 1 species
GAGUUUGAUCCUGGCUCAGAAUCAACGCUGGCGGCGUGCCUAACACAUGCAAGUCGAACGGGAAAGUACCCUUCGGGGUGCGAGUAAAGUGGCGAACGGGUGAGUAACACGUGGGUGAUCUGCCCUUUGGUGGGGGAUAACCCGGGGAAACCCGGGCUAAUACCGCAUGAGCCUGGAGUUGUCAUGACUUCAGGGAAAGCAUUUAUGUGCCGAAGGAGGAGCCCGCGUCCGAUUAGCUAGUUGGUGGGGUAAGAGCCUACCAAGGCAACGAUCGGUAGCCGGUCUGAGAGGACGGACGGUCACACUGGGACUGAGACACGGCCCAGACUCCUACGGGAGGCAGCAGUGGGGAAUUUUGGGCAAUGGGCGAAAGCCUGACCCAGCAACGCCGCGUGGAGGACGAAGGUUUUCGGAUCGUAAACUCCUGUCUAGAGGGACGAAGCAAGUGACGGUACCUCUGGAGGAAGCCCCGGCUAACUCCGUGCCAGCAGCCGCGGUAAUACGGGGGGGGCGAGCGUUGUUCGGAAUUACUGGGCGUAAAGGGCGCGUAGGCGGUAUUGGAAGUCAUGGGUGAAAGUCCUCGGCUCAACCGAGGGAUUGCCUGUGAAACCACAGUACUGGAGUGCUGG